rnacentral:rRNA from 1 species
GACGAACGCUGGCGGCGUGCUUAACACAUGCAAGUCGAACGGAAAGGCCCUGCUUUUGUGGGGUGCUCGAGUGGCGAACGGGUGAGUAACACGUGAGUAACCUGCCCUUGACUUUGGGAUAACUUCAGGAAACUGGGGCUAAUCCCGGAUAGGAGCUCCUGCUGCAUGGUGGGGGUUGGAAAGUUUCGGCGGUUGGGGAUGGACUCGCGGCUUAUCAGCUUGUUGGUGGGGUAGUGGCUUACCAAGGCUUUGACGGGUAGCCGGCCUGAGAGGGUGACCGGCCACAUUGGGACUGAGAUACGGCCCAGACUCCUACGGGAGGCAGCAGUGGGGAAUAUUGCACAAGGGGCGGAAGCCUGAUGCAGCAACGCCGCGUGCGGGAUGACGGCCUUCGGGUUGUAAACCGCUUUCGCCUGUGACGAAGCGUGAGUGACGGUAAUGGGUAAAGAAGCACCGGCUAACUACGUG